GAAAAUGUAGCUUAAUUUGGGUUAAAGCGUCGACCUGUCACGUCGAAGACUGCGGGUUCAAGUCCCGUCUUUUUCG
rnacentral:tRNA from 1 species